GGGUGACCACGAAUCUGAAGGAAGGUGGAGGCAAAUCUCUGGUCUGACGAACAGAAAUCAUGUGAGGCUACGGUUAAGGAUAAGAUUGCAUAACAAAUCAAAGUCCAAUAACUACUCGGAAUUAACUGUAGCAGAGGGCACAGA
rnacentral:ncRNA from 1 species